rnacentral:rRNA from 1 species
UACGAAGGGGGGCUAGCGUUGCUCGGAAUCACUGGGCGUAAAGCGCGCGUAGGCGGAUCGUUAAGUCGGGGGUGAAAUCCUGGAGCUCAACUCCAGAACUGCCUUUGAUACUGGCGAUCUUGAGUCCGGGAGAGGUGAGUGGAACUCCGAGUGUAGAGGUGAAAUUCGUAGAUAUUCGGAAGAACACCAGUGGCGAAGGCGGCUCACUGGCCCGGUACUGACGCUGAGGUGCGAAAGCGUGGGGAGCAAACAGGG